rnacentral:lncRNA from 1 species
CCUACAGCUCAUUUGGGAUGUUGUUUGACUGAAGGAUUAAAUUACAUGAUAACUUAUCACUAAAGGAUAUUUUGAUAAUUUUUCAUCAAAAUUUAAAAUCUUUCGAAUAGUCAUGACACAUUGCUAGACGUCAAUCUAGACUUGUAGACUCAUCAGCAUUAAAGAGUUUAAUUUGAGAAUUAAUUAGGAAGAGACCUAGUUGAUUGGGACUUUUGAGCUAACCU